rnacentral:lncRNA from 1 species
AAUGAUUCAAUGCUCCCUCCCUCUGGAGCACCUUCUGCUUAUGUUCCACUUGAUGAGUAUAAAAGAAACAUGACAAUCAUUGGCCAGCAUCUUAAGGUAAUUACUCAUUGUUAUGUAUAAUUUUAGAUUGAUUAUUAUAUAUAAUUUUUUUUUUAUAAUUUAUCGAUGUGGUAUGUGAAACAGUGCCUUUCAAAAGAGACUCGCGUUAUCUUUCUGAGUGUCCCUCCUGUCAAUGAAGAAAUGAUCCAUGAAUUUUA